AUUGAACGCUGGCGGCAGGCCUAACACAUGCUAGUCGAACGAGUGGCGGACGGGUGAGUAAUGUCUGGGAAACUGCCCGAUGGAGGGGGAUAACUUCUGUUAACGGUAGCUAAUACCGCAUACCAUCGGAUGUCCCCAGAUGGGAUUAGCUAGUAGGUGGGGUAACGGGGCACCUAGGCGACGAUCCCUAGCGGGUCUGAGAGGAUGACGAGGCACACUGGAACUGAGACACGGUCCAGAGGCCGACGGGAGGCAGCAGAGGGGAAUAUGGAACAAGGGGAGCAAGACUGAUGGAGCCAUGCCGCGUGUAUGAAGAAGGACGGAGGGUUGUAAAGUACUUUCAGCGAGGAGGCGUUACGCGCAGAAGAAGCACCGGCUAACUCCGUGCCAGCCGCCGCGGUAAUUC
rnacentral:rRNA from 1 species